CAUAGUAAUUAUCGGGGAAAUGAUUAGCAUUUAAUUUUUUAACGAAAACUUUAAAAAGUGAAUUUAUGUUUUGAGAAAAAAUACUAAGAUAAUAUUUAUAUUAUCCUGUCUUGUCAUUAUAAAGCAUAUUUUAGUUUAGAGAAAAUAAAUAUCCUAAACCCAAGUCUCAUUUUUCUUUCUCUUAUUUGCCAGGAGGAAUCUGCGGCAACACUAGCUCAUGAGAUUGGUAUUUCUUCUUUUCUGGUUAUGACUUUUUCCCGCAUACCACAGUCCACAACGCACUUUUCAUCAUGACCCUUACACACACUUCCACAUAUGUGACUGACUCAAAAUUCCACGAAACAGGCUUAUCUUUACUUCUCGGUAGGUACGUUGAUGUUUGCUUUCGUCUACUCUAGUUUUUCAGGCUGGCCCCAAGCCACCGACCAAGCGUCAGAAUUCAAUGAGGCUGAGGCUCAGCGUUCUAAAAACACGGCGUUAAGCAGCACACUUUUUCCUACAGUGUCCACUGACAUUUGUGCUAACAUUUGACUCACUUGAAAAAAUAACACCAAGAAGAUAUCCCAAGAAGAUACUCGCGUGCUUAGAACUACAAAAAUCAACCUAACACAAUCCCAUCCGCAGUCUUCCCAGGUUGUCUGGGCUUCCUGUGGCAAAGACCUAUGGCUUUAACCCUUCACAGAAGACCCCAGAUCUCCCCAGCAUGCUAGGAGAGUCUCCAAUGACAUCUCUGAGUAAGCUCCUACCUUUAGAGGGCUUCACGUUCAUCAUGUCGGGGACAAAUCCUGACAGCCUGUGGCUGUGGUGAAGGCUAAUCUGGAUCGGAUUUUCUAAGCCCUGAAACUGCAUCACCAUCCUGGGCUUAUUCGCGGCAACUGAGAAGGAGAGUAGGCCUGCUGGGAAGAUAACAUGAGCUAAUCAACAUGAAAGCAAAUUCCAGAGACAAAGGGAUUUGAAGCUGAGACUUUAGCACCUGAGCUCUGAAUCAAAAUUGGGUGGCUGAGAGGCUAAGGCAUACCUGCAUCGGUCUCUGGAG